rnacentral:snoRNA from 1 species
AGACCAUGAUGAGGACACUCUAAAAGGAGGACUUUGAAACAUUCCAUACAUCAAGAGAACGAUUCAUUUGGACGCUGGCGAAACUGGAGAAUUUCGUUCCUAAGUUU